rnacentral:lncRNA from 1 species
GGAUUUAUUCCCAAAUUCCCUCAGUCCUGCUUGGUCCUGAUUUUAAAAUUCCAGAGUUCCCAUCCUGGCCCUGAAUCCUCUCAGCAGCUCCAGCUCUGAAUGGGUCAAAAUCAGGGAAAAUCUGAAUUUAUGCUGGGGAUGGUUUGGGGGAACAAUGAGCUGAGUUCAGGGGGUCAGGAAAGGUUUAAAAAUGGGGCAGCUGAGGAGCUUUAAUCAAUUUGAAAUUUUUCCAGGCAGAGAGAGGGGGGAGAGAGGCACAGUGCAAAAAUCUGAAAUUCCUGAGAGGUUUUUUUCCUUUUUUUCUCCCUUUUUUUAAAAAAUAUUCCCUCCAGUGAUGCCCCCAAAGGUCCAAGAGCCCUGAGGUGAGGGAGGGAAGGAAUCUGUCCCAUGCUGGAAACUUCUGGAGCUGUAAGAAAAAAAUAACAAAAAAAAACCAAACAAAAACCCCAAGCUGGUGCUUUGCUUUCCUGUCCUUCUGUUUGGGAAGUGUUGAUUCUUCUAACAGAUCCUAAAAGCUCCAAAGGGACCCGGGAAUUUGGGAAUUUGCUGGAGAAUUCUUUCAUCUCAGAGGGGAGGAGUGGGAGCAGUUUAUGAGGGACUGGCAGAGUCUUUGGCUGUGUGACUUUGGGAGGGGUUGGUGUCACCUCUGUCACCCAGAAAUGACCAAUUCUGUGUUUAUCUGACCUGAGCAGAUCUGGGGGGAUCCCCUGCACUUUUGGGGGUGCUGCUGGAGCAGAAGCAGCGCUGACAACCUGUCCAAGGAGGAAUUUUGGGCUUUUUGGAGCCCAGCAGAGCAGGGAGAGCCAGCCCCGAGCCCAGCCUAGCUGGGAAUCACAUCCCAGCCUUCCCACCUGAGGAGCUGGAUGGGUUUGGGGUGGAACUCUUGGGUUUGGAUGGUUUGGGGUGGAACUGUUGGAUUUUGGGGCCCAGCCCAGCCCAGCCCUGCCGGGGUGCUGGCCCAGCAUGCUCCGUGUGACUGCAAACGCUCUGUACAGAGGGGCCAGGGUUUUUUAUAUAUAUAUUUUGGGAUGGGGGGAGGGAGGAGGGAGGGUGCAGAUCCUAAAAGCAGCUUAAGCCAGACUUCAAUGUGUGUAAAAACAAAAAAACAACCCCCAAACCUUCGGUGUGUGAGUGCGAGCAGGAGCGGCUGCCAUCCCAUUAUCCCAUCCCAUCCCAUCCCAGUAUCCCAUCCCAUCCCAUCAUCCCAUCCCAUUAUCCCAUCCCAUCCCCUUUGUGUUCUCAGCAGUUGGGAGCUUUUAUUUUCUUUUUUUCUUUUUUUUUUUUUUUUUAAUCCCCUUUUCCUGCAGAAGCAAUUGUUACAAAAAGAAAAAGAAUUGUAAAUAAGAGCUAAUUUUUGUUGUUGUUGUUGUUUGCCACGGUGUCACAGCAAACCCUGUGAAGGUGGAGGAGGAGACUGGCAGCAUUUUCUGGUGUGCAAGGAAUAUUUUGUCUUGAGUAUCUGCAAUCCCCUGGUCAGCUUUUAGAAGAAAAAAAAAAUGAUUAAAAAAAAAAAAUAAUAAAAAUCAGGCUCUUUGCA